AUUACUAUAGAAUUUGUAUAACUUUAAUUUCUUUUUGAUAGUGGCUUUUAAGAUUGGUUUUGGUUGAUAGUAACUUCUAAAUAUUUAGAGUCCCCUUUUUUAGACAUUGGUGAUCUUUAGAAACUUAUUUUGGUUCAUUUAUUUGGUGUUUAGAGCAUAAAUUAUAUAAAUCUUAUAAGAAAAAGGAUUGAAGAAGGGUUUUGGUAGCAAAGGGAGUAAUUAAGGCACCAAUAUAGAUGAAUGGAGAUGGAUGAUGAAAAUCUCCAUUCCUAUUGAUCAAAAAUCAUGACCAAUGGGCUUUGAGGAGGCUGCCCGAGGCCAUAUUAGAGAUUAGGGUUAGUUUUUGAGGGCAUUCGAGCUUUGAAGGUUAAGAUCAAAAAGUUUAGAUUUUUGGCUAUGGUUUUGGUACAAAUCUUGUAUGAUUUGAAGUUUAUAUGAAGGAGAUAUAGGCGCUCAAAGUUAAGGUAUUGAUUUGGGAGCUACUGUCAUUCUUUUUGACACAACGCACGCGUACGGAUGGCAAUUGAGGAUUGGCAACUACGAUUGGAUAGAACACUUGUGCAGAUACACUUUUUACAUAUUACUUACUGGAUUCCAAGUUGAAAUAAAGGUGUUAUUGAAUUUUGAAGUCAGCACAUGCAAUC
rnacentral:lncRNA from 1 species